GCUGGCGCCUUGAUCAUGGACUCCUGGGCUCCGGAACUGUAAGAAAAUUUGUGUUGUGGAAGCCACCCAGCCCAUGGUAUUUCGUUAUGGCAGCCUGAGCAGAGGUGGUAGCUAUGUGGACAGUUUUUGGACUUCUCUAUUUGCCACAUUAUAUGAAUAUAUUAUGCUGCUUUGUCACAUGCUGUAAGAAAAGUAACUGCUAUGGAGUUGAGAAGGUACAAGAAAGAUGAGAAAACAGAAGCAAAGGCAGAAAGAUGCUACAUUGCCAGCUUUGAAGAUGGAGGGAAGAGGUCACAAACCAAGGAAGCAAGACGGCCCUCACCAGAUGCCAGCACCUCCUGUGAUAUUGGACUUUCCAGCCUCCAGAUUCAUGAGAAAUAAA
rnacentral:lncRNA from 1 species